GGUAUAAUUGUUCGAUUUUUUAUUUCAAAGUUAGUCUUUUUUAACGUGAAAUUUUUAAUUUUUUUUUUUAAAUUUGCUUGAAAUUAUUUAUUGAUAGUCUUGUUGUGGUUUGUAUUGUGAUCUUGUUGCACGAAUCUAAUUAUGGUGGGUUUUUGAACGGAUUCUCAAGUUCUGUAAUUUUUAUCCUUUGCUAUAAAUUGAGUUUUCCAUGUAAAAUUGUCUCAUUUUAUUGUUUUUGUUUAUAAUAUUGGGAUUGAUUUGUAAUGAUGGUUGAUAUAUUAUAAUAUUAAAAUUUUCAUAAUUACUAACUCGUAUUUAUUGAGAAUAUAAAAAUGCGAUUUAUGUUUCAC
rnacentral:lncRNA from 1 species